AGUCAAGCUGCCCUCGGGCCGAGGAUAAUCUCGGGAAACUGAGGCUAAUACUCGAUAGAUCAAGAUUCCUGGAAUGGGUUUUGGUCCCAAACGAGGUAACAACAUCUUUGUUACAUUUCGCCCGAGGAUGCGACUGCGGCCGAUCAGGCUGUUGGUGGGGUAAAGGCCCCACCAAACCAGUAACCGGUACGGGCUUUGAGAGAAGGAGCCCGGAGAUGGACACUGAGACAAGGGUCCAGGUCCUACGGGGCGCAGCAGGCGCGAAACCUUCGCAAUGCGCGCAAGCGCGACGAGGUUAUUCCGAGUGAUUUCCGCUGAGGAAAUCUUUUCUCAGAUCUAAAAAGUCUGGGGAAUAAGGGGAGGGCAAGUCUGGUGUCAGCCGCCGCGGUAAUACCAGCUCCUCGAGUGGUCAGGGCGUUUAUUGGGCCUAAAGCAUCCGUAGCCUGCUUGGUAGGUCUCCUGUUAAAUCCAAUGACUCAAUCAUUGGUCUGCAGGAGAUACCGCUAGGCUAGGAGGCGGGAGAGGCGGACGGUACUCCGAGGGUAGGGGUAAAAUCCUUUGAUCCCCGGAAGACCACCAGUGGCGAAGGCGGUCCGCCAGAACGCGCUCGACGGUGAGGGAUGAAAGCUGGGGGAGCGAACCGGAUUAGAUACCCGGGUAGUCCCAGCUGUAAACGAUGCGAGCUAGGUGACACGACGCCUUCGGGGCAUCGUGGUGCUGCAGGGAAGCCGUUAAGCUCGCCGUCUGGGGAGUACGGACGCAAGUCUGAAACUUAA
rnacentral:rRNA from 1 species